UACGAGGAGAAGCGCCCAAGCGAGAA
rnacentral:rRNA from 1 species